rnacentral:rRNA from 1 species
GACGAACGCUGGCGGCGUGCCUAAUACAUGCAAGUUGAGCGAUGAAGAUUGGUGCUUGCACCAAUUUGAAGAGCAGCGAACGGGUGAGUAACGCGUGGGGAAUCUGCCUUUGAGCGGGGGACAACAUUUGGAAACGAAUGCUAAUACCGCAUAAUAACUUUAACAAUAAUUUUUAAGUUUGAAAGAUGCAAUUGCUUCACUCAAGGAUGAUCCCGCGUUUUAUUAGCUAGUUGGUGAGGUAAAGGCUCACCAAGGCGAUGAUACAUAGCCGACCUGAGAGGGUGAUCGGCCACAUUGGGACUGAGACACGGCCCAAACUCCUACGGGAGGCAGCAGUAGGGAAUCUUCGGCAAUGGACGAAAGUCUGACCGAGCAACGCCGCGUGAGUGAAGAAGGUUGUCGGAUCGUAAAACUCUGUUGGUAGAGAAGAACGUUGGUGAGAGUGGAAAGCUCAUCAAGUGACGGUAACUACCCAGAAAGGGACGGCUAACUACGUG